CCUACGGGAGGCAGCAGUAGGGGAAUCUUCCGCAAUGGACGAAAGUCUGACGGAGCAACGCCGCGUGAACGAUGAAGGCCUUCGGGUCGUAAAGUUCUGUUGUUAGGGAGAACAAGUGCUAGUUGAAUAAGCUGGCACCUUGACGGUACCUAACCAGAAAGCCACGGCUAACUACGUGCCAGCAGCCGCGGUAAUACGUAGGUGGCAAGCGUUGUCCGGAAUUAUUGGGCGUAAAGCGCGCGCAGGCGGUUUUCUUAAGUCUGGAUGCGAAAGCCCCCGGCUCAACCGGGGAGGGUCAUUGGAAACUGGGAAACUUGAGUGCAGAAGAGGAAAGUGGAAUUCCAAGUGUAGCGGUGAAAUGCGUAGAGAUUUGGAGGAACACCAGUGGCGAAGGCGACUUUCUGGUCUGUAACUGACGCUGAGGCGCGAAAGCGUGGGGAGCAAACAGGAUUAGAUACCCUGGUAGUCCACGCUGUAAACGAUGAGUGCUAAGUGUUAGAGGGUUUCCGCCCUUUAGUGCUGAAGUUAACGCAUUAAGCACUCCGCCUGGGGAUACGGUCGCAAGACUGAAACUCAAAGAGUUAGUACGGA
rnacentral:rRNA from 1 species